UUGUAUUUCAGAAAGAACUCACUGAUCUCAAUAAUACUAAAGAAGGUACACAUUUAUAAAUCAGAGGAAAGCUUAGGAAAAGGAACAACGAAAAUGAAUAUAGACAUUCAACUGGGAAUAUCAAUUCAAUAAUUUGACAAUAAAUAAUUAUUAAGCCCUUAUUAUGUGAUGCACUACUAGGUAUUGGGACUACAUAGAUGAAAAUCUACAUAGUGCCUACUGUGGAUAAAUUUAUAAUUAAAGUGGAAACUUCCUCACCCCACAUAGCAAAUUGUGAGUAGCAGAUUACUUUAUCCCUGGCUGUGAAAGAGGUCACACAGGUUACUCCAGUACAGCUUCCUUCCAAUUAUUUCGAGUCAUCUCUCCUUCCUGACUCUCUCCACUUCCACUUUGGCUUGAGCAGCAACUGUUGGAAAAAGACUGAACAAUGGACCAAGUUAGUGGAGUGAGGAGGACAAGUACUCAGAGGAAGGACAAGUACUCAGAGACACUGAAACGGAAAGACCUGGCAUGGAAUGAAGGUCAGCAGAUGGAAUCUAGAAGCCAGGGGGUGGUACAGUUCUGUCAUAAAAUUGCUAAAAGUGCCAAGACUUUAAUUAAAAAAAAAUCAAGUGCCAAG
rnacentral:lncRNA from 1 species